rnacentral:rRNA from 1 species
UAUCCUGUCUGAAUAUGGGGGGACCAUCCUCCAAGGCUAAAUACUCCUGACUGACCGAUAGUGAACCAGUACCGUGAGGGAAAGGCGAAAAGAACCCCGGCGAGGGGAGUGAAAAAGAACCUGAAACCGUGUACGUACAAGCAGUGGGAGCCUCUUUAUGGGGUGACUGCGUACCUUUUGUAUAAUGGGUCAGCGACUUAUAUUCUGUAGCAAGGUUAACCGAAUAGGGGAGCCGAAGGGAAACCGAGUCUUAACUGGGCGUUAAGUUGCAGGGUAUAGACCCGAAACCCGGUGAUCUAGCCAUGGGCAGGUUGAAGGUUGGGUAACACUAACUGGAGGACCGAACCGACUAAUGUUGAAAAAUUAGCGGAUGACUUGUGGCUGGGGGUGAAAGGCCAAUCAAACCGGGAGAUAGCUGGUUCUCCCCGAAAGCUAUUUAGGUAGCGCCUCGUGAAUUCAUCUCCGGGGGUAGAGCACUGUUUCGGCAAGGGGGUCAUCCCGACUUACCAACCCGAUGCAAACUGCGAAUACCGGAGAAUGUUAUCACGGGAGACACACGGCGGGUGCUAACGUCCGUCGUGAAGAGGGAAACAACCCAGACCGCCAGCUAAGGUCCCAAAGUCAUGGUUAAGUGGGAAACGAUGUGGGAAGGCCCAGACAGCCAGGAUGUUGGCUUAGAAGCAGCCAUCAUUUAAAGAAAGCGUAAUAGCUCACUGGUCGAGUCGGCCUGCGCGGAAGAUGUAACGGGGCUAAACCAUG